rnacentral:rRNA from 1 species
UACGUAGGGGGCAAGCGUUGUCCGGAAUUACUGGGCGUAAAGGGUGCGUAGGCGGCUUGACAAGUCGGAUGUGAAAUACUCUUGCUUAACGAGAGGGGUGCAUACGAAACUGUCGAGCUUGAGUGUAGGAGAGGGAAGCGGAAUUCCUAGUGUAGCGGUGAAAUGCAUAGAUAUUAGGAGGAACACCAGUGGCGAAGGCGGCUUUCUGGACUACAACUGACGCUGAGGCACGAAAGCGUGGGGAGCAAACAGG